AUUGAACGCUGGCGGCAGGCCUAACACAUGCAAGUCGAACGAGUGGCGGACGGGUGAGUAAUGUCUGGGCAACUGCCUGAUGGAUGGGGUUCACUACUGGACACGGUUGCUAAUACCGCCUACCUUCGGCUGUGCCCAGGUGGGAUUAGCUAGUAGGUGGGGUAAAGGCUCACCUAGGCGACGAUCCCUAGCUGGUCUGAGAGGAUGACCAGCCACACUGGAACUGAGACACGGUCUAGACUCCUACGUGAGGCAGCAGUGGGGAAUAUUGCACAAUGGGCGCAAGCCUGAUGCAGCCAUGCCGCGUGUAUGAAGAAGGCCUUCGGGUUGUAAAGUACUUUCAGCGGGGAGGCGUUACCCGCAGAAGAAGCACCGGCUAACUCCGUGCCAGCCGCCGCGGUAAUUC
rnacentral:rRNA from 1 species